rnacentral:pre_miRNA from 1 species
GGGGGGAGGCCGGAUCCUGGGCUGUGUCCCGGCGCCCUGUGCUCCGGAGCCUGCGCGGUUGGAUUCGCGCUCCCGCCCCGCAGCCCCCU